rnacentral:rRNA from 1 species
GACGAACGCUGGCGGCGUGCUUAACACAUGCAAGUCGAGCGGUAAGGCCCUUUGGGGGUACACGAGCGGCGAACGGGUGAGUAACACGUGAGUAAUCUGCCUUUGGCUUGGGGAUAACUUCGGGAAAUCGGGGCUAAUGCCUGAUGUUUACUGUCUGCUGCAUGGUGGGUGGUGGAAAGAUUUUUGGCCAGGGAUGAGCUCGCGGUCUAUCAGCUUGUUGGUGGGGUAAUGGCUACCAAGGCUUUGACGGGUAGCCGGCCUGAGGAGGGCGGCCGGCCACACUGGGACUGAGACACGGCCCAGACUCCUACGGGGAGGCAGCAGUGGGGAAUCUUGCGCAAUGGGCGAAAGCCUGACGCAGCGACGCCGCGUGAGGGAU